UACAGAGGUCCCGAGCGUUUGUUCGGAUUCAUUGGGCGUAAAGGGUGCGUAGGCGGUCUUCUAAGUUUGAUGUGAAAUCCCGGGGCUCAACCCUGGAAUGGCAUUGAAUACUGGAGGACUAGAGUACCGGAGAGGAAACUGGAAUUUACGGUGUAGCAGUGAAAUGCGUAGAGAUCGUAAGGAAGACCAGUGGCGAAGGCGAGUUUCUGGACGGUAACUGACGCUGAGGCACGAAGGCCAGGGGAGCAAACGGG
rnacentral:rRNA from 1 species